UAGGGAAUCUUCCACAAUGGACGCAAGUCUGAUGGAGCAACGCCGCGUGAGUGAAGAAGAUCUUCGGAUCGUAAAACUCUGUUGUUAGAGAAGAACACGAGUGAGAGUAACUGUUCAUUCGAUGACGGUNUCUAACCAGCAAGUCACGGCUAACUACGUGCCG
rnacentral:rRNA from 1 species